AAUUCAAUUGCUUUUGUGAUUUUCGUUUUAGGCAGGCCCGAGUAGUCAGUAUCUCUCCUUUCGCCGGGCCGGGAAGCAGAGCCUCCGAAGGUUCCUGGGCGCUGCUGCUGUAUCUCCAGGGGCCAGUUCAGCCAGUCAGCCAGCAGGUAUUCGCGCUCCUAACAGAAGACUGCCCGAGGAACCUCCAGCAGCGCGUCCACCGGCCCUGGAAUACUUUCUGCGUAUUUUCUCCCCAAACCAAAAAACAAAGAGGGUAGCAAUUAGUGUCUUCAGUCCCUGGAGAAACAACCACCUGUCCCAAAAGUAAAGCAAAGCUGGUCCUGUUGAAAAGCAACAAAGA
rnacentral:lncRNA from 1 species